rnacentral:rRNA from 1 species
UACGUAGGUGGCAAGGCGUUGUUCGGAAUUAUUGGGCGUAAAGGGCGCGUAGGCGGUUUGUCGCGUCCGUUGUGAAAGCUUGGGGCUCAACCCCAAGUCUGCAGUGGAUACGGGCAGACUAGAGUCAGGUAGGGGAGAACGGGAAUUCCUGGUGUAGCGGUGAAAUGCGUAGAUAUCGUGAGGAAUACCAGAGGCGAAGGGCGGCUACCUGGACAAUUGCUGACGCUCAGGCACGAAAGCGUGGGGAGCAAAAGGGAG